GAUGAACGCUGGCGGCGUGCUUAACACAUGCAAGUCGAACGGUGAAGGCGGAGCUUUCUCUGCUGGAUCAGUGGCGAACGGGUGAGUAACACGUGAGCAAUCUGCCGCUGACUCUGGGAUAAGCGCUGGAAACGGCGUCUAAUACUAGCUACUAGCGUCGAAGGAAUCUUCAGCAGCUGGAAAGAAUUUCGGUCAGGGAUGAGCGCGCGGCCUAUCAGCGUGUUGGUGAGGUAAUGCCUCACCACGGCGUCGACGGGUAGCCGGCCUGAGAGGGUGACCAGCCACACUGGGACUGCGACACGGCCCAGACGGCUACGGGGGGCAGCAGUGGGGAGUAUUGCGCAAUGGGCGAGAGCCUGAUGCAGCAACGCCGGGUUAGGGAAGACGGCCUUCGGGUGGUAAACCUCUUUUAGCAGGGAAGAAGCGAAAGUGACGGUACCUGCAGAAAAAGCGCCGGCUAACUACGUG
rnacentral:rRNA from 1 species